ACUGAGUCGGCAGGGAGGGAUUAAAGGGUGACUUUAAGUGGAAAAACCCCAGGCUCCUCUGAGAACACAAGGUGCAUUCGAGUGAGAUAAAAACAGAAGCUGGUAACAUGCAAACAUCACCUGUGGAUGGUAAGAUCAAUCGCACGGAGGCCAACCGCAUUCGAGCGGCUGUGACUAAUCUAGCUUAGUGCUACAGAAGCCGGCCUUGAAAGAUCUCCUUCGACUCAGGAUUUCGCCACGAAGCCUUUCAAAGUCUUUGUAAGUGUGUUUCUAGAUGUUUCCCUCAGGGACUCCUGUGCCCAGCGCCCUAGACCCAUUUCCUCCCUGGAAGGUCCUCCGGGACCAGCGUGGAGGAGGCUGCGCCUGAGCCUGGGCCGCCUCUGAGCUAGCGGCCGCAGGAGGAAAGAGGGACGUCAUGACAAAGCUGAAGCUAGCGGGGAUGACGCCUCUGAAAAGCUUCUUGCUCCAAAGAGUACCGUCAGAAGAAGCAUGCAUUAUAGGAACAGGACACAGCGGUCGCCACGGCACUGCCAGCUGCCACGUCCCAAGCCGGCAAAGCCUCCUAAAUGCGCCCCGUGCCGUGACAGUGCCACUCAGUGUGCCACGUGCUGUUUCCUCCCCGUGCCAGCCGGAGAUGCCCUGGCAUAGAAAACGACCGCAGAGUAGUGUCCCGACCCAACAGGGAUAG
rnacentral:lncRNA from 1 species